rnacentral:lncRNA from 1 species
UCUGUGUGUGUGUAAAAUAUCUUUAAUUUUCUUCCUGUUUCUGCCACUUUAUAUAUUUUCAACAAAAUUAAUUUGCAUAUGGCUUUAUUUUUAUUUGAUUUUCAUGCACUUCACUAUGUUGACCAAAUAUGUGUUUCAAAACCAAUUCAGAUAUAAUAACAGUACUUCCAUUACAGAAGCACAAUAUUAUCAAGAUCCUGUUUUCAAUCCAGAUUUUUGGUAACUUGUAAGAAUUGGUGAAUCAUAUUGGUUCACCAAUAUGAUCAAAACCGUUAAGGAGACUGGAUCACAGUGAACAGAUACCAGGCCUGUUGAGAACUUUGAAUAUAUUGGCUCACUAUCUUCUGGCCACUAAAGUUUCUCAUGGGAAAUCUGUUGAUAACCUUAUUGAGGAUCCUGUUAUAUGCUACAGAGAACUUAUAGAAAAUGGAACUUUCAUCCCCAAGAGAAGACAUUUUGCUAUUGAUAGUCCUUUUGCAGACACCUCUGAAAGUCUUCAAGCUGUACACAAAAUUAAGGAAUCUUACAAUUCUGUAUUAUAUUGGAGACAAUUUCAACAAUAGCCACAAAAAUUAUCAUCACAGGGAAGAGAAAGAGAGAGAAAGGUUGCACGGUUAGAUGGUUCUGGAACCCUCAUUUGCAGUGUCCUUACUAACAGUAUUUCAGCUUCCUAAACCAAGGGAUGCUAUAAACCAGGAGGGACUGCUGCUUUGGAAUGGAAGCCAAAGGGCAAAAGAUGGCAAGAAGCUAGUACGUUUCAUAAGGAAGUAUUUGAAGAAAGUAUGUAGAAGACCAAAUCAAG